GUGAAUCAUCAAAUUUUUGAACGCAAAUUGCACUCUCUUCGGAGAGUAUGCCUGUUUGAGGGUCAGUAUUAAUAAAAAUCGGUGUGUUGCUUCUUUGUGACGCUCCGGAGUUUGGGUCAUCUUAAUAUCCUUUAGGUUUUAAGAGGCUUAAAAUUGACUUUUUUUGCACAUUUUAGAUGUACAUAAAUUCUUUUUUUAUUUGGUUGGUUUUAUUCUCAAAAUUCUAUUAGAAGCUACC
rnacentral:misc_RNA from 1 species